AUACGUAGGGGGCGAGCGUUGUCCGGAAUGAUUGGGCGUAAAGGGCGCGUAGGCGGCCCGGUAAGUCUGGAGUGAAAGUCCUGUUUUUAAGAUGGGAAUUGCUUUGGAUACUGUCGGGCUUGAGUGCAGGAGAGGUAAGUGGAAUUCCCAGUGUAGCGGUGAAAUGCGUAGAGAUUGGGAGGAACACCAGUGGCGAAGGCGACUUACUGGACUGUAACUGACGCUGAGGCGCGAAAGUGUGGGGAGCAAACAGGAUUAGAUACCCUGGUAGUCCACACUGUAAACGAUGGAUACUAGGUGUGCGGGGACUGACCCCCUGCGUGCCGGCGUUAACACAAUAAGUAUCCCACCUGGGGAGUACGAUCGCAAGGUUGAAACUUAAAGGAAUUGACGGGG
rnacentral:rRNA from 1 species